rnacentral:rRNA from 1 species
UACGUAGGUGACAAGCGUUGUCCGGAUUUACUGGGCGUAAAGAGCGCGCAGGCGGUCGUUCAAGUCGAGUGUGAAAGCCCCCGGCUCAACUGGGGAGGGUCACUCGAUACUGAUCGACUCGAAGGCAGGAGAGGGUAGUGGAAUUCCCGGUGUAGUGGUGAAAUGCGUAGAUAUCGGGAGGAACACCAGUGGCGAAGGCGACUUCCUGGCCUGUUCUUGACGCUGAGGCGCGAAAGCUAGGGUAGCAAACGGG